rnacentral:rRNA from 1 species
AUUAAACGCUGGCGGCAUGCCUUACACAUGCAAGUCGAACGGCAGCAUGGGUGCUUGCACCUGAUGGCGAGUGGCGGACGGGUGAGUAAUACAUCGGAACGUGCCCUGAAGUGGGGGAUAACGCAGCGAAAGCUACGCUAAUACCGCAUAUUCUGUGAGCAGGAAAGCAGGGGAUCGCAAGACCUUGCGCUUUGGGAGCGGCCGAUGUCGGAUUAGCUAGUUGGUGGGGUAAUGGCCUACCAAGGCGACGAUCCGUAGCGGGUCUGAGAGGAUGAUCCGCCACACUGGGACUGAGACACGGCCCAGACUCCUACGGGAGGCAGCAGUGGGGAAUUUGGACAAUGGGCGGAAGCCUGAUCCAGCCAUGCCGCGUGAGUGAAGAAGGCC